rnacentral:tRNA from 1 species
GCCUGGGUGGCUCGGUCAGUUGGGCGUCUGACUUCGGCUCAGGUCAUGAUCUUGCUCGGUUUGUGAGUUCAAGUCCCGCAUCAGGCU